rnacentral:rRNA from 1 species
UCCUGGUCAAUUAGAGGAAGUAAAAGUCGUAACAAGGUUUCCGUAGGUGAACCUGCGGAAGGAUCAUUAUCGUACAUCGGGGGUGCGAGGGCCGUCGCUGACCCUUCAAAAAGGUCGUGCACGGCCGAGGGCUUUCAAACAUCCAUCUCACCCCUUUGUGCAUCACCGCGUGGGUCCCCUUCGCGGGGGGCUUGCGUUUUCACAUAAAACUUCAUACUGUGUAGAAUGUUUUCUUUUGCGCUCACACGCAAUCAAUACAACUUUCAACAACGGAUCUCUUGGCUUUCGCAUCGAUGAAGAACGCAGCGAAAUGCGAUACGUAAUGUGAAUUGCAGAAUUCAGUGAAUCAUCGAAUCUUUGAACGCACCUUGCGCCCCUUGGCAUUCCGAAGGGCCCACCCGGUUGAGGGUUCUGAAAUCCUCAAAAUCAUUUUUUCUUUUUCGAAAAAGGAUUUUGGACUUGGAGGUUCAAUGCUCGCUUUCGAAAGUGAGCUCCUCUCAAAUGAAUCAGUGGGGUCCGCUUUGCUGAUCCUUGACGUGAUAAGAUGUUUCUACGUUUUGGAUUUGGCACUGUCCCUUGCUUCUAACAGUCCCUUGGACGACGAUGGUGCUCCGGUCGCCGCCACGUAUGCUGGCGGGAGGCUGGACCCACAAAAACCUUGACCUC